UACGGAGGGUGCAAGCGUUAUCCGGAUUCACUGGGUUUAAAGGGUGCGUAGGUGGGCAAGUAAGUCAGUGGUGAAAUCUCCGGGCUUAACCCGGAAACUGCCAUUGAUACUAUUUGUCUUGAAUACUGUGGAGGUCAGCGGAAUAUGUCAUGUAGCGGUGGAAUGCUUAGAUAUGACAUAGAACACCAAUUGCGAAGGCAGCUUACUACACAGUCAUUGACGCUGAGGCACGAAAGCGUGGGGAUCAAACAGG
rnacentral:rRNA from 1 species